GCGGCGGACGGCUGAGUAACGCGUAGGAACGUACCCCAAAGUGAGGGAUAAGCACCGGAAACGGUGUCUAAUACCGCAUGUGGUCUUCGGAUUAAAGCUUCGGCGCUUUGGGAGCGGCCUGCGUAUGAUUAGUUUGUUGGUGAGGUAAUGGCUCACCAAGGCUUCGAUCAUUAGCUGGUCUGAGAGGAUGAUCAGCCAGACUGGGACUGAGAACGGCCCAGACUCCUACGGGGGCAGCAGUAGGAAUUUCCACAAUGGACGAAAGUCUGAUGGAGCAACGCCGCGUGCAGGAUGAAGGCUUUCGGGUCGUAAACUGCUUUUAUAUGUGACGAUUUUGACGGUAGCAUAUGAAUAAGGAUCGGCUAACUCCGUG
rnacentral:rRNA from 1 species